CGAUGGGUACCGAAUUCGGUACUUUUUAAGGUACCGACCGAAUUCCAUAGUACCGACCGAGCACCGAUUCACGUCAUUUCAAACGGUGCCUCGUUUCGAUACCCGUCCAUCAUAACGAGAACUUUCCAAGACAGCUGUGCAUGCACAAGAGCGUUAUGUCAUCGCUCGCUGCGAGCCAGUUGUAAACAGAGCAGCAUGGUAGAAAGAACGCACGCUAAAGCUUGGGUCCACUUCACUAAAUGUGAUGGGUAACUGGGUGAUGGUGAAACCAGCGACAACGAUCUAAGUGAGACACCCUCAUCUUAAUCUGCUCCGGUAGGUAAGUAUAAUUAGCUUGAUAUAUUAGCUUCCGUUUCGCUAAUGGUGCGUUCGCUUUCUCCUCGGAACUCCGAAUUCCCGACUAGAAGAACAUGAACGCGCACUAAAGUUUGGCUUCACUUUACUAAAUGCGACGGGUGAAGACGAAACCAGUGACAACGAUCUAAGUGUGAGGCAUCAUUGUUUAGCUCCAGCAGCUAAAUAAACUGUUUAAGAUAACGUUAGCUUGGUAUGUUAGCUUCCUUUGCUACCAUUGUUAUCAGCUAAUGGUGCGUUUGCUUUCUCCUCGGAAAUUCUAACUUCCCAGUAGGAAAAAUCAAAUGAAAAAAGACGGCAAAAGGAAUGAAGAUACACAGUAAAUGUAGCUCACAGUAAAGAUGUUUGCUUCAGUUUAAUUAUCAGUAGAGCUGAAACAACUAAUCGAUUUAAUCGAUUAUAAUCGAUUAUUAAAAUAGUUAACAACUUUUUUAGUCAUCGAUUAGUUGUUUAAUAAUCAUAUUUUACCGCAUAAAGUCUAUUUUUACCACAAUCUGACAUCGGUUACAAGCUGUUAAAUUUGCCGCCAGUGUGUGGCAGUAAUGAGCCACUGAUCUACCAGUGGAGCCGUAGAAGAAGAAAUGAGCCAAUGAGUGCCCUCGGUUUUCAUGACGUAUCACGUUACUGACGCUCAUCUUGCUGUGAGAGAUGGCGGAACAAGAGGAAAUACGGAAGAAAAUAGAAGCGACAAAACUUUAGAGAAACCCCGGACAAAAACCUCACGAGUAUGGGAGCACUUCAGUCUAGAUGCCUUGAAAAGGCAAAAUAUGCAAAAACCAUCUAGCAUGGCACGGAAGCACGACGUCCCUAAGUGAACAUUUGAGACGAAAACGUGGGGGCUGAGGAAGAGCACCGCGGUCAAGUGAGCCGUCAUUUGGAAGAGCCAGCCCGAAAAAAACAAGCAACGAUGGACAACUACAUGGGGAACAAGACACUCACCCCCCAGCAAUUCAUACCACUUACAAACUCUAUUCUAAACAUGCUGGUAAAAGACAUGAGGCCACUAUCCAUGGUGGAAGGAGCAGGCUUCCAGCUAAUGCUAAAAAAUUAUUCUGGACUGAUAUUUUGCACUGUUUAGCUCAUUUUCUACUGCUGACUGUGUUCAUGUGCAAUAAAAUAGAUUGCAGUCAACUGCACAA